GAUGAACGCUGGCGGUAUGCCUAACACAUGCAAGUCGUACGAGAGUUUUUAACUCUAGUGGCGGACGGGUGAGUAACACGUGAGAAUUUGCCUUUAGGAGGGGGACAACAAUUGGAAACGAAUGCUAAUACCCCAUAUGCUUUCGAGUGAAAUGGAUUUUAUCCGCCUAGAGAGAAGCUCGCGGCUGAUUAGCUUGUUGGUAAGGUAAGAGCUUACCAAGGCGACGAUCAGUAUCUGGUUUGAGAGGACGAUCAGACACACUGGAACUGAGACACGGUCCAGACUCCUACGGGAGGCAGCAGUGGGGAAUUUUCCGCAAUGGGCGAAAGCCUGACGGAGCAAUACCGCGUGAGGGAAGAAUGCCUAUGGGUUGUAAACCUCUUUUUUCAGGGAGGAAGUAAAAUAGACGUGUACCUGAAGAAUAAGCAUCGGCUAACUCCGUG
rnacentral:rRNA from 1 species